GGGUCGAUGGCGUAGUUGGUUAUCGCAUCUGUCUAACAUCAUGCCAAACAACCAUGGUUUAAGGUGGUGUACACAGAAGGUCCUCAGUUCGAGCCUGGGUCAACUCA